rnacentral:rRNA from 1 species
GACGAACGCUGGCGGCGUGCUUAACACAUGCAAGUCGAACGCUGAAGCUUGGUGCUUGCACUGGGUGGAUGAGUGGCGAACGGGUGAGUAAUACGUGAGUAACCUGCCCUUGACUCUGGGAUAAGCCUGGGAAACUGGGUCUAAUACUGGAUACGACAUGCCACUGCAUGGUGGUGUGUGGAAAGGGUUUUACUGGUUUUGGAUGGGCUCACGGCCUAUCAGCUUGUUGGUGGGGUAAUGGCCUACCAAGGCGACGACGGGUAGCCGGCCUGAGAGGGUGACCGGCCAAACUGGGACUGGGAAACGGCCCAGACUCCUACGGGAGGCAGAAGGGGGGAAUAUUGCACAAUGGGCGGAAGCCUGAUGCAGCGACGCCGCGGGAGGGAGGACGGCCUUCGGGUUGUAAACCUCUUUCAGCACGGAAGAAGCGAGAGGGACGGUACGUGCAGAAGAAGCGCCGGCUAACUACGU